UAAAACUCCUGCAAGUGUUAAGUGUGAUUGAACAACAGCAUAACACUUUCCUAACCGAUUCCCACAGGUGCAUGCAUUGAGCUGAGGGCUGGGAGAGCACUUUGUUGGGAGCCCCAGUUAAGGGAUUCGUGGUACUCAUGAGGAGCAGAGAUGCAUGAGUCUCCUCGCUGACUUUUCAGGUCCUCUCGCCGUUGUCUGACUCCAUCCUGGCUGAGAAGACGGUGAUUGUCCUGGAUGACCGAGUCGCCAUCGUGGAGCUGGGAGUGCAGCUCGUAGCUGGCAUGUCUCUCUCCCUGCAGCCACACCGAGCAGACAAAAGGGCCAUCGUCUCCACAGCCGCUGCCCUGGAUGUUCUUCUGUCCCCACAGCAGGGGGAAGAAUUGAUAUAUCUGAACUGGAAAAUAAUUUUCAUAUGCUCAGUUUGCUAAUAUAGUUUGGAGAUUUUUUUAAGGCCACUUACCAAAAAAAAGACACACUGUGAAAUGCAUAAUAUUGGCUGGGAUCCUCGGUGGUGGUGCACGGUGCAGGGAUUCAAUGAGUGGAAAUGAGUCGGAUCUGUUGUCUGAGGCGUGUGCAGACUGUGCCUUCCCCAGAAGCUGGAACCUCGACAGAGAUCCCAUUCUGGAAGCCACCUAGGAAAGGACAUCCCUGUGCACAGAAUGGAAUGGAGCGAAGUUCAGCUUCUUUGUCAUUGGACCCCUAAAGGAGCCUCUCACUGGGUCCUGGGCCCGCCCACCAAGCAUGGAAGAGCAUUAGCACUUCAAAGUUGCAUUGGUAAUACCCAUUGUUAGUUCCAGUGUAAGAAAUUAAGGUGCUUUGAGAAAAGAGUAAGGGCAAAUAAGCCACAAGGAAAACAAAGCAGGAAACUCCAUAUGAUUUUAUAUUUUUCUAUUCUCAGUUCAAAGCAGAGGCCCCUCAGAGAUGAACACUAGGUACAGAACAAGACUCCUGUCAACCACACUUAGUUCAAGCUGAAGGAACCCGGCCUCUCUUUGCUAAUGUGUUAUUGAAAAUUGGCAUUGCUCAUCAUUAUGGAAACAAAAUUCCCAACACCAUAAUGUUAGUUCAAAGAAGGAAAACAGCAAUCAUUUCCAACACUGUUGAUUUGGAACCCAUUGUUUAAUUCCUCAUGAAUUAAAGCAAAAGACAAUCAGAAAGGCAAUUACCAGUAAGAACUAAAGGUAUCGGCUUCAUUUAUUAUAAAAUAUAAUAAAUUUAAACUUAAUUUAAAAAUCCAAAUGUGGGUUAAGCUUUUGUUUUUCAUUCCUUGAACAAUUUAAAGUUUUAAUAUAAAUAUCUUCUGCUGCAAACAAGACCCUAGAGUCACAGAAGUUUCAGGCUUAAAUCUGCGAGUGUUUCUUUGGCACGUUUAGCUGAGAAUAUGAGAUGGGAAAUGUAUGUGAUUUUAUUCAAUGGGUUCUGAUUAUGUAAUAAAGGGCAAAGGCCUGGGAAACUUUCACAUUUCACUUCCCUGUGUUGGGAUUAAUUUAAUAGUAUCCACUUUCCUGCCCAGAUAAUAAGCUAAAUUCCCAACUGCCCACUUGAAAAAAAUAUGUAUAUAUCUGAGUGCAUGUGUGUAUUACAUAUACAAUUUAGUCUCUGAAUAUACAGAACACUCAAAUCAAGCAGUUGGUUGUGUUAUGAUUUGUAACAUUUUUGGUAUUUAGCAUAAAAAUCAUCUUCUAAAAAAGAGUGUAUAGUCAUUGUAAAUAAUGUUUGAGAAUUGAAGUUCUUGAGGAUUUUGAUAAAAUAUAUUUUUAAAAGAAGGAAUAUGUGUAUUCCAUAUCAAUAUAAAAAAAUUGUAUGUAUUAUACAAUAUGUAUUGUAUUUAUAUAUUGUGUAAAUACAAUGUAUUUAUGUAU
rnacentral:lncRNA from 1 species